CCUACGGGGGGCAGCAGUGAGGAAUAUUGGACAAUGGACGCAAGUCUGAACCAGCCAUGCCGCGUGCAGGAAGACGGCCCUAUGAGUUGUAAACUGCUUUUGUACGAGGGUAAACGCAGAUACGCGUAUCUGUCUGAAAGUAUCGUACCAAUAAGGAACGGCUAAAUCAGUGCCAGCAGCCGCGGCAAUACGGAGGAUUCAAGCGUUAUCCGGAUUUAUGGGGUUGAAAGGGUGCGUAGGCGGUCGGAUUAGUUAGAGGUGAAAUCCCGGGGCUCAACUUCGGAAUUGCCUCUGAUACUGUUCGGCUAGAGAGUAGUUGCGGUAGGCGGAAUGUAUGGUGUAGCGGUGAAAUGCUUAGAGAUCAUACAGAACACCGAUUGCGAAGGCAGCUUACCAAGCUACUUCUGACGUUGAGGCACGAAAGCGUGGGGAGCAAACAGGAUUAGAUACCCGAGUAGUC
rnacentral:rRNA from 1 species